rnacentral:rRNA from 1 species
CGUGUAGGCGGUCAGGUAAGUGGGGGUGUGAAAGCCCCCGGCUCACCCGGGGAUCUGCAUUCCAAACUGCCUGGCUUGAGUACGGGAGAGGAUGAGGGAAUUCCUGGUGUAGCGGUGAAAUGCGUAGAUAUCAGGAGGAACACCGGUGGCGAAGGCGCUCAUCUGGCCCGAUACUGACGCUGAGGCGCGAAAGCUAGGGGAGCAAACG